AGAGUUUGAUCAUGGCUCAGAACGAACGCUGGCGGCAGGCUUAACACAUGCAAGUCGAGCGCUGUAGCAAUACAGAGCGGCGCACGGGUGAGUAACACGUGGGAACGUGCCCUUCAGUGGCGAAUAACGUCGGGAAACUGACGCUAAUACGCCAUAUUCCCUCCGGGGGAAAGAUUUAUCGCUGAAGGAUCGGCCCGCGUCAGAUUAGGUAGUUGGUGGGGUAAUGGCCUACCAAGCCUACGAUCUGUAGCUGGUCUGAGAGGACGGCCAGCCACACUGGAACUGAGACACGGUCCAGACUCCUACGGGAGGCAGCAGUGGGGAAUAUUGGACAAUGGGGGCAACCCUGAUCCAGCCAUGCCGCGUGAGUGAUGAAGGCCUUAGGGUUGUAAAGCUCUUUUGGCGGGGAAGAUGAUGACGGUACCCGCAGAAUAAGCACCGGCUAACUUCGUGCCAGCAGCCGCGGUAAUACGAAGGGUGCUAGCGUUGUUCGGAAUCACUGGGCGUAAAGCGCGCGUAGGCGGCUUCUCAAGUCAGGGGUGAAAUCCUUGGGCUCAACCCAAGAAUUGCCUUUGAAACUGUGAAGCUGGAGUGUCGGAGGGGAUAGCGGAAUUGCUAAUGCAGAGGUGAAAUUCGUAGAUAUUAGCAGGAACACCGGUGGCGAAGGCGGCUAUCUGGACGACAACUGACGCUGAGGCGCGAAAGCACGGGGAUCAAACAGGAUUAGAUACCCUGGUAGUCCGUGCUGUAAACGAUGGAUGCUAGCCGUGGGGGGGUUACCCUUCCGUGGCGCAGCUAACGCGUUAAGCAUCCCGCCUGGGGAGUACGGUCGCAAGAUUAAAACUCAAAGAAAUUGACGGGGACCCGCACAAGCGGUGGAACAUGUGGUUUAAUUCGAGGCAACGCGAGACCUUACCAGGACUCGACUUGCCCUCUACGGCCCCGAAAAGGGUCUUCAGUUCGGCUGGCAGGAGCACAGGUGCUGCAUGGCU
rnacentral:rRNA from 1 species